GACGAACGCUGGCGGCGUGCUUAACACAUGCAAGUCGAACGGGCCUUGUCCCCUUUUUUUUUGGGGGUGGGGUUAGUGGCGAACGGGUGAGUAACACGUGAGUAACCUGCCCCUCACUUCUGGAUAACCGCUUGAAAGGGUGGCUAAUACGGGGUGUUCUGGCCUGCUCGCAUGGGUGGGUUUGGAAAGAUUCGACCGGUUUUGGUUGUUUUGGUGGGGGAUGGGCUCGCGGCCUAUCAGCUUGUUGGUGGGGUGAUGGCCUGCCAAGGCUUUGACGGGUAGCCGGCCUGAGAGGGUGGGCGGUCACACUGGGACUGAGACACGGCCUAGACUCCUACGGGAGGCAGCAGUGGGGAAUAUUGCACAAUGGGCGCAAGCCUGAUGCAGCGACGCCGCGUGAGGGAUGGAGGCCUUCGGGUUGUGAACCUCUUUCGCCAGUGAAGAAGGUCCUGCUCUUUGUGGUGGGGUUGACGGUAGCUGGGUUAAUGAAGCGCCGGCUAACUACGUG
rnacentral:rRNA from 1 species